rnacentral:rRNA from 1 species
CCUACGGGUGGCUGCAGUGGGGAAUAUUGGACAAUGGGGGCAACCCUGAUCCAGCCAUGCCGCGUGUGUGAAGAAGGCCCUCGGGUUGUAAAGCACUUUCAGUGAGGAAGAACGCCUGGUGGUUAAUACCCAUCAGGAAAGACAUCACUCACAGAAGAAGCACCGGCUAACUCCGUGCCAGCAGCCGCGGUAAUACGGAGGGUGCGAGCGUUAAUCGGAAUUACUGGGUGUAAAGCGCGCGUAGGUGGCUUGAUAAGCCGGUUGUGAAAGCCCCGGGCUCAACCUGGGAACGGCAUCCGGAACUGUCAAGCUAGAGUGCAGGAGAGGAAGGUAGAAUUCCCGGUGUAGCGGUGAAAUGCGUAGAGAUCGGGAGGAAUACCAGUGGCGAAGGCGGCCUUCUGGACUGACACUGACACUGAGGUGCGAAAGCGUGGGUAGCAAACAGGAUUAGAUACCCUAGUAGUC